rnacentral:tRNA from 1 species
GGGUAGAUAGCUCAGUUGGUAGAGCACAGCACUGAAAAUGCUGGGGUCGCCGGUUCAACUCCGGCUCUGCCCACCA